CGCCUUUUCUUUUUUUCUAGCAGGGCGCGACGCAGAUUGAGGAUUCCCAGGUAUGUUUUCUGUUAAGACCUUUGUGUAUGUCUAAUUGGCCUUUUCUUUUUUCUGGCAGGGCGCGACGCAGAUUGAGGAUUCCCAGGUAUGUUUUCUGUUAAGACCUUUGUGUAUGUCUAAUUGCGCCUUUUCUUUUUUUCUAGCAGGGCGCGACGCAGAUUGAGGAUUUCAGGUAUGUUUUCUGUUAAGACCUUUGUGUAUGUCUAAUGUUGCCUUUUCUUUUUUUCUGGCAGGGCGCGACGCAGAUUGAGGAUUUUCAGGUAUGUUAUCUGUUAAGACCUUGGUGUACGUCUAAUGUUGCCUUUUCUUUUUUUCUGGCAGGGCGCGACACAGAUUGGAGAUUCGCAGGUAUGUUUUCCGUUAAGGCCUUUGUGUAUGUCUAAUGUCGCCUUUUCCUUUUUUCUAGCAGGGCGAGACGCAGAUUGAGGAUUUUCAGGUAUGUUUUCUGGUAAGGCCUUUGUGUAUGUCUAAUGUCGCCUUUUCUUUUUUUCUAGCAGGGCGCGACGCAGAUUGAGGAUUUUCAGGUAUGUUUUCUGUUAAGACCUUUGUGUAUGUUUAAUGUUGCCUUUUCUUUUUUUCUGGCAGGGCACGACGCAGAUUGAGGAUUUUCAGGUAUGUUUUCUGUUAAGGUUUUUGUGUAUGUCUAAUGUCGCCUUUUCUUUUUCUGGCAGGGCGCGACGCAGAUUAAGGAAUUCCAGGUAUGUUUUCUGUUAAGAUCUUUGUGUAUGUCUAAUGUUGUCUUUUCUUUUUUUCUGGCAGGGCGCGACGCAGAUUGGAGAUUCGCAGGUAUGUUUUCUGUUAAGACCUUUGUGUAUGUCUAAAGUUGCUUUUCUUUUUUUCUAGCAGGGCGCGACGCAGAUUGAGGAUUCCAGGUAUGUUUUCUGUUAAGACCUUUGUGUAUGUCUAAUGGUUUCUUUUUUUUUUCCUUUAGGUCGUGUGGCCUUUUUUUUUUUUUGCAGGGCGCGCGACGCAGAUUGAGGAUUCCAGGUAUGUUUUUCUGUUAAGACCUUUGUGUAUGUCUAAUGUGCGCCUUUUCUUUUUUUCUAGCAGGGCGCGACGCAGAUUGAGGAUUCCAGGUAUGUUUUCUGUUAAGACCUUUGUGUAUGUCUAAUGUUGUCUUUUCUUUUUUUCUAGCAGGUCGCGACGCAGAUUGAGGAAUUCCAGGUAUGUUUUCUGUUAAGACCUUUGUGUAUGUCUAAUGUUGUCUUUUCUUUUUUUUCUAGCAGGGCGCGACGCAGAUUGAGGAUUUUCAGGUAUGUUUUCUGUUAAGACCUUUGUGAAUGUCUAAUUUCGCCUUUUCUUUUUUUCUAGCAGGGCGUGACGCAGAUUGAGGAUUUUCAGGUAUGUUUUCUGUUAAGACCUUUGUGUAUGUCUAAUGUUGCCUUUUCUUUUUUUCUAGCAGGGCGCGACGCAGAUUGAGGAUUUCAGGUAUGUUUUCUGUUAAGACCUUUGUGUAUGUCUAAUGGUUCUUUUUUUUUCCUUUAGGUCGUGUGGCCUUUUUUUUUUUUUUAGCAGGGCGUGACGCAGAUUGAGGAUUCCCAGGUAUGUUUUCUGUUAAGACCUUUGUGUAUGUCUAAUGUUGUCUUUUCUUUUUUUUCUGGCAGGGCGCAUCGCAGAUUGGAGAUUUUCCAGGUAUGUUUUCUGUUAAGACCUUUGUGUAUGUCUAAUGUUGCGCCUUUUUCUUUUUUUCUAGCAGGGCGCGACGCAGAUUGAGGAUUCCCAGGUAUGUUUUCUGUUAAGACCUUUGUGUAUGUCUAAUGUUCGCCUUUUCUUUUUUUCUAGCAGGGCGCGACGCAGAUUGAGGAUUCCAGGUAUGUUUUCUGUUAAGACCUUUGUGUAUGUCUAAUUUCGCCUUUUCUUUUUUUCUAGCAGGGCGCGACGCAGAUUGAGGAUUCCCAGGUAUGUUUUCUGUUAAGACCUUUGUGUAUGUCUAAUGUUGUCUUUUCUUUUUUUCUAGCAGGGCGCGACACAGAUUGAGGAUUUAGGUAUGUUUUCUGUUAAGACCUUUGUGUAUGUCUAAUGGUUCCUUUUUUUUUCCUUUAGGUCGUGUGGACUUUUUUUUUUUUUUGCAGGGCGCGACGCAGAUUGAGGAUUUAGGUAUGUUUUCUGUUAAGACCUUUGUGUAUGUCUAAUGUUGUCUUUUCUUUUUUUCUAGCAGGGCGCGACACAGAUUGAGGAUUUUCAGGUAUGUUUUCUGUUAAGACCUUUGUGUAUGUCUAAUGUUGCCUUUUCUUUUUUUCUAGCAGGGUGCGUUGCAGAUUGAAGAUUUUCAGGUAUGUUUUCUGUUAAGGCCUUUGUGUUUGUCUAAUGGUUCCUUUUUUUUUCCUUUAGGUCGUGUGGCCUAUGCUACAUUUGCUGGUAUGUUUUUUGUUAAGGCCUAUGUGUAUGUUUAAUGUUGCCUUUUCUUUUUUUCUGGAAGAGCACGACGCAGAUUGAAGAUUCGCAGGUAUGUUUUCUGUUAAGACCUUUGUGUAUGUCUAAUGUUGUGUUUUCUUUUUUUCUAGCAGGGCGCGACGCAGAUUGAGGAUUUCAGGUAUGUUUUCUGUUAAGACCUUUGUGUAUGUCUAAUGUUGUCUUUUCUUUUUUUCUAGCAGGGCGCGACGCAGAUUGAGGAAUUCCAGGUAUGUUUUCUGUUAAGACCUUUGUGUAUGUCUAAUGUUGCCUUUUCUUUUUUUCUGGCAGGGCGCGACGCAGAUUGAGAUUCGCAGGUAUGUUUUCUGUUAAGACCUUUGUGUAUGUCUAAUGGUUCUUUUUUUUUUCCUUUAGGUCGUGUGGCCUUUUUUUUUUUGCAGGGCGCGACGCAGAUUGAGGAUUUUCCAGGUAUGUUUUCUGUUAAGACCUUUGUGUAUGUCUAAUGUUGCCUUUUCUUUUUUUCUGGCAGGGCGCGACGCAGAUUGAGGAUUUUCAGGUAUGUUAUCUGUUAAGACCUUGGUGUACGUCUAAUGUUGCCUUUUCUUUUUUUCUGGCAGGGCGCGACACAGAUUGGAGAUUCGCAGGUAUGUUUUCCGUUAAGGCCUUUGUGUAUGUCUAAUGUCGCCUUUUCCUUUUUUCUAGCAGGGCGAGACGCAGAUUGAGGAUUUUCAGGUAUGUUUUCUGGUAAGGCCUUUGUGUAUGUCUAAUGUCGCCUUUUCUUUUUUUCUAGCAGGGCGCGACGCAGAUUGAGGAUUUUCAGGUAUGUUUUCUGUUAAGACCUUUGUGUAUGUUUAAUGUUGCCUUUUCUUUUUUUCUGGCAGGGCACGACGCAGAUUGAGGAUUUUCAGGUAUGUUUUCUGUUAAGGUUUUUGUGUAUGUCUAAUGUCGCCUUUUCUUUUUCUGGCAGGGCGCGACGCAGAUUAAGGAAUUCCCAGGUAUGUUUUCUGUUAAGACCUUUGUGUAUGUCUAAUGUUGUCCUUUUCUUUUUUUCUAGCAGGGCGCGACGCAGAUUGAGAUUCCAGGUAUGUUUUCUGUUAAGGCCUUUGUGUAUGUCUAAUGUCGCCUUUUCUUUUUUUCUAGCAGGGCGCGACGCAGAUUGAGGAAUUCAGGUAUGUUUUCUGUUAAGACCUUUGUGUAUGUCUAAUGGUUCUUUUUUUUUCCUUUAGGUCGUGUGGCCUUUUUUUUUUGCAGGGCGCGACGCAGAUUGAGGAUUCCCAGGUAUGUUUUCUGUUAAGACCUUUGUGUAUGUCUAAUUGUCGCCUUUUCUUUUUUUCUGGAAGAGGGCGCGACGCAGAUUGAGGAUUCAGGUAUGUUUUCUGUUAAGACCUUUGUGUAUGUCUAAUGUUCGCCUUUUCUUUUUUUCUAGCAGGGCGCGACGCAGAUUGAGGAUUCCCAGGUAUGUUUUCUGUUAAGACCUUUGUGUAUGUCUAAUGUUGUCUUUUCUUUUUUUUCUGGCAGGGCGCGACGCAGAUUGAGAUUCAGGUAUGUUUUCUGUUAAGACCUUUGUGUAUGUCUAAUGUUGCGCCUUUUCUUUUUUUCUAGCAGGGCGCGACGCAGAUUGAGGAUUCCCAGGUAUGUUUUCUGUUAAGACCUUUGUGUAUGUCUAAUGGUUCUUUUUUUUUUUCCUUUAGGUCGUGUGGCCUUUUUUUUUUUGCAGGGCGCGACGCAGAUUGAGGAUUUUCAGGUAUGUUUUCUGUUAAGACCUUUGUGUAUGUCUAAUGUCGCCUUUUCUUUUUUUUUCUGGCAGGGCGCGACGCAGAUUGAGGAUUCCCAGGUAUGUUUUCUGUUAAGACCUUUGUGUAUGUCUAAUGUUGUCUUUUCUUUUUUUCUAGCAGGGCGCGACGCAGAUUGAGGAUUCCCAGGUAUGUUUUCUGUUAAGACCUUUGUGUAUGUCUAAUGUUGUCUUUUCUUUUUUUUCUGGCAGGGCGCGACGCAGAUUGAGGAUUCCAGGUAUGUUUUUCUGUUAAGACCUUUGUGUAUGUCUAAUGUUGCGCCUUUUCUUUUUUUCUAGCAGGGCGCGACGCAGAUUGAGGAUUCCCAGGUAUGUUUUCUGUUAAGACCUUUGUGUAUGUCUAAUGUUGCGCCUUUUUCUUUUUUUCUAGCAGGGCGCGACGCAGAUUGAGGAUUUUCAGGUAUGUUUUCUGUUAAGACCUUUGUGAAUGUCUAAUUUCGCCUUUUCUUUUUUUCUAGCAGGGCGUGACGCAGAUUGAGGAUUUUCAGGUAUGUUUUCUGUUAAGACCUUUGUGUAUGUCUAAUGUUGCCUUUUCUUUUUUUCUAGCAGGGCGCGACACAGAUUGAGGAUUUAGGUAUGUUUUCUGUUAAGACCUUUGUGUAUGUCUAAUGGUUCCUUUUUUUUUCCUUUAGGUCGUGUGGACUUUUUUUUUUUUUUGCAGGGCGCGACGCAGAUUGAGGAUUUUCAGCUAUGUUUUCUGUUAAUACCUUUGUGAAUGUCUAAUUUCGCCUUUUCUUUUUUUCUAGCAGGGCGUGACGCAGAUUGAGGAUUUUCAGGUAUGUUUUCUGUUAAGACCUUUGUGUAUGUCUAAUGUUGCCUUUUCUUUUUUUCUAGCAGGGCGCGACGCAGAUUGAGGAUUUAGGUAUGUUUUCUGUUAAGACCUUUGUGUAUGUCUAAUUUCGCCUUUUCUUUUUUUCAAGCAGGGCGCAACGCAGAUUGAGGAUUCUCAGGUAUGUUUUCUGUUAAGACCUUUGUGUAUGUCUAAUGUCGCCUUUUCUUUUUUUCUAGCAGGUCGCGACGCAGAUUGAGGUAUUCCAGGUAUGUUUUCUGUUAAGACCUUUGUGUAUGUCUAAUGGUUCUUUUUUUUUCCUUUAGGUCUGUGGCCUUUUUUUUUUUUGCAGGGCGCGACGCAGAUUGAGGAUUCCCAGGUAUGUUUUCUGUUAAGACCUUUGUGUAUGUCUAAUUUCGCCUUUUCUUUUUUUUUAGCAGGGCACGAUGCAGAUUGAGGAUUCCCAGGUAUGUUUUCUGUUAAGACCUGUGUGUAUGUCUAAUGUUGUCUUUUCCUUUUUUUCUGGCAGAUUGAGGAUUCCCAGGUAUGUUUUCUGUUAAGACCUUUGUGUAUGUCUAAUGUUGUCUUUUUCUUUUUUUCUAGCAGGGCGCGACGCAGAUUGAGGAUUCCCAGGUAUGUUUUCUGUUAAGACCUUUGUGUAUGUCUAAUGUUGUCUUUUCUUUUUUUCUAGCAGGGCGCGACGCAGAUUGAGGAAUUCCAGGUAUGUUUUCUGUUAAGACCUUUGUGUAUGUCUAAUGUUGCGCCUUUUCUUUUUUUUCUAGCAGGGCGCGACGCAGAUUGAGGAUUCCCAGGUAUGUUUUCUGUUAAGACCUUUGUGUAUGUCUAAUGGUUCUUUUUUUUUUCCUUUAGGUCGUGUGGCCUUUUUUUUUUUUGCAGGGCGCGACGCAGAUUGAGGAUUCCCAGGUAUGUUUUCUGUUAAGACCUUUGUGUAUGUCUAAUGUUCGCCUUUUUCUUUUUUUCUAGCAGGGCGCGACGCAGAUUGAGGAUUCCCAGGUAUGUUUUC
rnacentral:lncRNA from 1 species